UGCAAAUCAGUCGAAGACCUGCCAAAAAUCAAUUAUGUGGUUCGUAAUUAACAUUCUGGUACGUCGAUCCGCCUUGGCAUAAAUCGGCGUAUGGGUUACGUUGGUGUUCCAACAAAACACCGUCUGGCACUUCGUAGCGUCGACUAUGAAAUGCAAUCAAACAUUGCAUAUAUGCACUCAGCUAUUCUGCAAUUUAAAAGUGAUAUCAAUAAAUUGAAGUCUUACAUACCCUAUUUACACACGUUUGAACAGCUUUUGGCCGAUUGCGAAGCUAUGCAAAUACCUUUGGCCGUACCAACAACCACAACACCUUCAGUUGUAAAUGGACCGACGUAUCCUACAGAACCUCC